rnacentral:lncRNA from 1 species
UCUUUUUAACAUGAUUGCAUUCAAUGAGAUGGCCAAUUGCCCUAUGUCCUCUUGCAUGCCUUGCAUAGAUGUGGUCAUUUGGCCUAGGUCUUGUCGCACGCCUUGCAUGGUGUUCACCAUUGUUUCCAUCAUUGUUUCCAUCAUCUUUUCAAAGUGUUGAUCUGGAUUUGAAGGUUCUGGUUGGGCUUGAUAUCCUUGAUAAUCUUGGUAGUUG